GUAGCUUAACCUUCGGGAGGGCGCUUACCACUUUGUGAUUCAUGACUGGGGUGAAGUCGUAACAAGGUAACCGUAGGGGAACCUGCGGUUGGAUCACCUCCUUACCUGAAGAUAC
rnacentral:rRNA from 1 species